rnacentral:rRNA from 1 species
GCCACGGAGACGAAGUGGCGGUCAUCCAGCUUCCUAGAAAAGCUCUAACCACGUUAAUCUUUAGUUGCCUGUACCCGAAACCGACACAGGUAGGGGGGUAGAGAAUACCAAGGGGCGCGAGAUAACUCUCUCUAAGGAACUCGGCAAAAUGACCCCGUAACUUCGGGAGAAGGGGUACCACUGAGAAGUGGUCGCAGUGAAGAGGCCCAGGCGACUGUUUACCAAAAACACAGGUCUCCGCCAAGUCGCAAGACGAAGUAUGGGGGCUGACGCCUGCCCAGUGCCGGAAGGUUAAGGAAGUGGGUUAGGGAUUCGUCCCGAAGCUGACGACUGAAGCCCCGGUGAACGGCGGCCGUAACUAUAACGGUCCUAAGGUAGCGAAAUUCCUUGUCGGGUAAGUUCCGACCCGCACGAAAGGCGUAACGAUCUGGGCGCUGUCUCGGAGAGAGGCUCGGCGAAAUAGGAAUGUCUGUGAAGAUACGGACUACCUGCACCUGGACAGAAAGACCCUAUGAAGCUUUACUGUAGCUUGGAAUUGGGUUCGGGCUUGGUUUGCGCAGGAUAGGUGGGAGGCGAAGAAGAUUUGCUUGUGGGUGAAUCUGAGCCAACGGUGAGAUACCACUCUAACCAGGCUAGAAUUCUAACUUCAACCCGUCAACCGGGGGAAGGACAGUUUCAGGUGGGCAGUUUGACUGGGGCGGUCGCCUCCUAAAAGAUAACGGAGGCGCACAAAGGUUCCCUCAGGCUGGUUGGAAAUCAGCCAACGAGUGCAAAGGCAGAAGGGAGCUUGACUGCGAGACCUACAAGUCAAGCAGGGUGGAAACACGGUCUUAGUGAUCCGACGGCACCGAGUGGAAGGGCCGUCGCUCAACGGAUAAAAGUUACUCUAGGAUAACAGGCUGAUCUCCCCCAAGAGUUCACAUCGACGGGGAGGUUUGGCACCUCGAUGUCGGCUCAUCGCAACCUGGGGCGGAAGUACGUCCCAAGGGUUGGGCUGUUCGCCCAUUAAAGCGGUACGUGAGCUGGGUUCAGAACGUCGUGAGACAGUUCGGUCCAUAUCCGGUGUAGGCGCAAGAACAUUGAGAGGAGUCUUCCUUAGUACGAGAGGACCGGGAAGAACGCACCGCUGGUGUACCUGUUAUCGUGCCAACGGUAAACGCAGGGUAGCCAAGUGCGGAGUGGAUAACCGCUGAAAGCAUCUAAGUGGGAAGCCCACCUCAAGAUGAGUGUUUUCAUGGAGUAAUCCAGUAAGGUCACGGGAAGACGACCCGUUGAUAGGCGGUAGGUGGAAGUUCAGCAAUGGAUGAAGCCGAGCCGUACUAACAGACCGAGGGCUUGACC